GAUGAACGCUGGCGGCGUGCCUAAUACAUGCAAGUCGAACGCACAGCGAAAGGUGCUUGCACCUUUCAAGUGAGUGGCGAACGGGUGAGUAACACGUGGACAACCUGCCUCAAGGCUGGGGAUAACAUUUGGAAACAGAUGCUAAUACCGAAUGAAACUUAGUGUCGCAUGAUACGAAGUUAAAAGGCGCUUUGGCGUCACCUAGAGAUGGAUCCGCGGUGCAUUAGUUAGUUGGUGGGGUAAAGGCCUACCAAGACAAUGAUGCAUAGCCGAGUUGAGAGACUGAUCGGCCACAUUGGGACUGAGACACGGCCCAAACUCCUACGGGAGGCUGCAGUAGGGAAUCUUCCACAAUGGGCGAAAGCCUGAUGGAGCAACGCCGCGUGUGUGAUGAAGGCUUUCGGGUCGUAAAGCACUGUUGUAUGGGAAGAACAGCUAGAAUAGGGAAUGAUUUUAGUUUGACGGUACCAUACCAGAAAGGGACGGCUAAAUACGUGCCAGCAGCCGCGGUAAUACGUAUGUCCCGAGCGUUAUCCGGAUUUAUUGGGCGUAAAGCGAGCGCAGACGGUUGAUUAAGUCUGAUGUGAAAGCCCGGAGCUCAACUCCGGAAUGGCAUUGGAAACUGGUUAACUUGAGUGCAGUAGAGGUAAGUGGAACUCCAUGUGUAGCGGUGGAAUGCGUAGAUAUAUGGAAGAACACCAGUGGCGAAGGCGGCUUACUGGACUGUAACUGACGUUGAGGCUCGAAAGUGUGGGUAGCAAACAGGAUUAGAUACCCUGGUAGUCCACACCGUAAACGAUGAACACUAGGUGUUAGGAGGUUUCCGCCUCUUAGUGCCGAAGCUAACGCAUUAAGUGUUCCGCCUGGGGAGUACGACCGCAAGGUUGAAACUCAAAGGAAUUGACGGGGACCCGCACAAGCGGUGGAGCAUGUGGUUUAAUUCGAAGCAACGCGAAGAACCUUACCAGGUCUUGACAUCCUUUGAAGCUUUUAGAGAUAGAAGUGUUCUCUUCGGAGACAAAGUGACAGGUGGUGCAUGGUCGUCGUCAGCUCGUGUCGUGAGAUGUUGGGUUAAGUCCCGCAACGAGCGCAACCCUUAUUGUUAGUUGCCAGCAUUCAGAUGGGCACUCUAGCGAGACUGCCGGUGACAAACCGGAGGAAGGCGGGGACGACGUCAGAUCAUCAUGCCCCUUAUGACCUGGGCUACACACGUGCUACAAUGGCGUAUACAACGAGUUGCCAACCCGCGAGGGUGAGCUAAUCUCUUAAAGUACGUCUCAGUUCGGAUUGUAGUCUGCAACUCGACUACAUGAAGUCGGAAUCGCUAGUAAUCGCGGAUCAGCACGCCGCGGUGAAUACGUUCCCGGGUCUUGUACACACCGCCCGUCACACCAUGGGAGUUUGUAAUGCCCAAAGCCGGUGGCCUAACCUUUUAGGAAGGAGCCGUCUAAGGCAGGACAGAUGAC
rnacentral:rRNA from 1 species